AAGUCGUAACAAGGUUUCCGUAGGUGAACCUGCGGAAGGAUCAUUAAAAAAUAGUCCCUAUUAAUAUGUGAAUUAAGCCAAUGAUUUGUUGGGUAUCGACCAACGUUAAACUAUUAUUUAAAUUUAUGACAGGAAGAUUAAUAGAUAAAACUUUUAGCAACGGAUCUCUAGGUUCUC
rnacentral:misc_RNA from 1 species